GGAAGCUGCCUGCAAACUCCGGGAGCUCUUCUGACUCUUAACAAGGUCUUAAUAUGCUUUCAGAGAAAUGCCAACAAAAACUGUAGUCAUUUGGGGAAGAAUAAGUCUGGAAGAAAAAUACACAGAGGACUAGCACCAAGAGGAUGCAAUUUAACAGUAAAGAAGAGUCGGCCCACAUGUGACAAGUACUUACAUGCAACUCUGAAGUUUUCUUCUCUAUUUUAAAGAAGAAAGGGGAGAAAUGAAGAACAGGAUAAAGGCCUGAAAUCCCUUCUCCAGAAAGAGAGAGAGCGAGAGAGCUGUCAACACAGAGC